AGGCCUAACACAUGCAAGUCGAGCGGUAACAUUUCUAGCUUGCUAGAAGAUGACGAGCGGCGGACGGGUGAGUAAUGCUUGGGAACAUGCCUUGAGGUGGGGGACAACAGUUGGAAACGACUGCUAAUACCGCAUAAUGUCUACGGACCAAAGGGGGCUUCGGCUCUCGCCUUUAGAUUGGCCCAAGUGGGAUUAGCUAGUUGGUGAGGUAAUGGCUCACCAAGGCGACGAUCCCUAGCUGGUUUGAGAGGAUGAUCAGCCACACUGGGACUGAGACACGGCCCAGACUCCUACGGGAGGCAGCAGUGGGGAAUAUUGCACAAUGGGCGCAAGCCUGAUGCAGCCAUGCCGCGUGUGUGAAGAAGGCCUUCGGGUUGUAAAGCACUUUCAGUCAGGAGGAAAGGUUAGUAGUUAAUACCUGCUAGCUGUGACGUUACUGACAGAAGAAGCACCGGCUAACUCCGUGCCAGCAGCCGCGGUAAUACGGAGGGUGCGAGCGUUAAUCGGAAUUACUGGCGUAAAGCGUACGCAGGCGGUUUGUUAAGCGAGAUGUGAAAGCCCCGGCUCAACCUGGGAACUGCAUUUCGAACUGCAAACUAGAGUGUGAUAGAGGGUGGUAGAAUUUCAGGUGUACCGGUGAAAUGCGUAGAGAUCUGAAGGAAUACCGAUGGCGAAGCAGCCACUGGUCAACACUGACGCUCAUGUACAAAGCGUGGGAGCAAACAGGAUAGAUAC
rnacentral:rRNA from 1 species